ACUGGAAUAACUUAGUUGGCCAAACUGUGUGGCCCUUAACCACAAGUUGGAGGUUCAAGCCCUCCUUCUAGUG
rfam:Triticum aestivum genome assembly, contig: Triticum_aestivum_CS42_TGACv1_scaffold_133639_2BL